rnacentral:rRNA from 1 species
UGGGGAAUAUUGGUCAAUGGGCGAAAGCCUGAACCAGCAAUGCCGCGUGAGUGAUGAAGGCCUUCGGGUUGUAAAGCUCUGUCAGGGGGAACGAAAAAGCCAGCUAACACCUGGUGUUGACGGUACCCUCAAAGGAAGCACCGGCUAACUCUGUGCCAGCAGCCGCGGUAAUACAGAGGGUGCAAGCGUUGUUCGGAAUUACUGGGCGUAAAGCGAGUGUAGGCGGCCUAUUAAGUCAGAUGUGAAAUCCCUUGGCUCAACCGAGGAACUGCAUCUGAUACUGGUGGGCUUGAGUGUCGGAGGGGAUGGUAGAAUUCCUGGUGUAGAGGUGAAAUUCGUAGAUAUCAGGAGGAAUACCUGUGGCGAAGGCGACCAUCUGGAAGACAACUGACGCUGAGACUCGAAAGCGUGGGUAGCAAACAG